GUCAAGUCCAAUCUAAUUCCAAAGAAAACAAAAAAAAGAAACACAGUUUGAGCACGAGCUGUGUGCUUGGCACAGUAUUCAGGCUAGGAAUUCCUACCCCAGAGAGCUUAUUUGCUGUGAGUACACAGGAAAGGAACUCAGAAGAGUACAAGGAAAUGAUAGCCAGCUUAAGAUGGGUGCCCAAUUACCAGAAGACAACGGUUUUCAAACAGGAUUCCAUGAAAUCCAUUCAUCAAAGACGCUUCAGGAUGUACAUAGGAGUUCAAUUGAAGAGAUUCAAUUUGACAAAUAUUGAAAUGUGCCACGCAGCAGGCCCCAUUCCAGGCUCUGGGAUUCAGCCAUGAACAAACAGACAUCAGGC
rnacentral:lncRNA from 12 species